CAAGUAGUGUGUCAACAGUAGAGUUCAGAUAGUGUGACUGAAGCCACAGAAUUUGAUUUUGGCUAUUCAUUUCUUGGUGUGUGAACUGCAAACUUUCCACAGAGCUGUCACAACUUCAUCCUUGAUGACUAGUUAAACAUUAAGAGCUGUGACAGAUAUGACAAUCCUGCUGCUUCUGAUCAUGAUCCAUGGAGUGGAUAUCAAAGUUGACACAGAAAAUAAUCACACAAGAUUAGAGACCAGCACCCUGCUACCUUUACAAAAUCCAGCAUGUCAGUUUACUAAAAACUUUUGCUGCAAAGAAACGGAUAAUGUCAGAGUUAUUUGCCCCUCAGAGAAUCAGAAAGAUUCAUUACAACCAAACUUUCCAAGUAUUACCAAUGAUUUCCCUGAAAAAAAAAUGAAACUGCUCUGAAUAUCAUCAACAGGUACUCAUCUUGUGUUUAAGAUCUAAACAAACUGUAUGAAUCUUUGUGGAUUUGGUUGUAUCCAUGUCAAUGGCAUUAUUGUGCAGA